rnacentral:lncRNA from 1 species
GUGCCCCCAGGUGUGCCCAGGUGUCCCCAGGUGUGUUCCCAGGUGUCCCCAGGUGUGUUCCAGGUCCCCCCAGGUGUGUUUUUGCUGUCCCCAGGUGUCCCCAGGUGUGUUCCAGGUGUCCCCAGGUGUGUUCCAGGUGUCCCCAGGUGUGUUCCCAGGUGUCCCCAGGUGUGUCCCCAGCUGUCCCCAGGUGUCCCCAGGUGUGUCCCAGCUGUGUCCAGGUGUGUCCCAGGUGUCCCCAGGUGUCCCCAGGUGUCCCCAGCUGUCCCCAGGUGUCCCCAGGUGUCCCCAGCUGUCCCCAGGUGUCCCCAGGUGUCCCCAGGUGUCCCCAGGUGUGUCCCCAGGUGUGUCCCCAGCUGUCCCCAGGUGUCCCAGGUGUGUCCCCAGCUGUCCCCAGCUGUCCCCAGGUGUCCCAGGUGUGUCCCCAGCUGUCCCCAGGUGUCCCCAGCUGUGUCACCUGCCCAGGUGCGUUCCGCCCCACCCCCCUCACCUGAGCGCGGCUGUCCCGGCUCAGCUGAGCACAGCACACCUGGGGAGAGGGAAAGGACAGGUGAGGGGACAGGGGGGAAAAUCGGGGAAAAUCGGGAAAAAUUGGGAAAAAAUUGGGAAAAAUUGGAAAAAUCAGGAAAAUCAGGAAAAAAUUGGGAAAAAAUUGGGAAAAAUUUGGAAAAAUUGGGAAAAAUUGGGAAAAAUUUGGAAAAAUUGGGAAAAAUCAGGAAAAAAUUGGGAAAAAUUGGGAAAAUUGGUAAAAAUCAGGAAAAAUUGGGGAAAAAUUAGAAACAAUUGGGGAAAAAAUUGGAAAAAGUUGGGAAAAAUUGGGAAAAAUGAUGAAAAAUUAGGAAAAACCAGGAAAAAUCAGGAAAAAUUAGGAAAAAUCAGGAAAAAAUGAGAAAAAUUAGGGAAAAUUAGGGAAAAUUGG